CCCUACAAGGAAAACAAAGAAAAAACCCUACAAGGUUUUCAGAGUGCCAGACCUGCAGCAAAAAAUAGAGACUUUGCUUGGAGCCAAGAAAUAAUAGUGUAUUAACUAACUAUAACAAGCAACAAAUUAGGGAUAACAAUACCUUCUUUGAGAGUCAGAUUAGAUGAGAUAUGCAAAGGUCCUUACAGAUCUGCUCUGCAUGGAAAAGUAACAUUGAGGAAAGCUACAGAAAGUGCCAACUGGUCUGGCACUAGAGUGUUUAGGAUUACAAUGUUUUUAGCCACUAUCAAGUGUGUAAGACAGCCUUAGCUCAAAAUUUGCAACCAGAGUGGGAGAUGUCCAACAUGCUGACUAUAAUGACUGCAUACAUGAGUGUCACUUCUGACAUACAGGACAAUUUUCAUAGGCCAGAAAAUCUGUGCUGGCCCCAGAAGAGGAGAUAUAUCAGACUUGCUGCUGCUCUUCUGCUAUGCUGGAGGAAGCCAUGGUAUGCCACGACAGUGCAGGUCUGUGACAUUGCUACAACAGGCUGUAAUUAAGCACAGUUUUUUUGAUUUUUGUUGUUUACAGUGGGCUUUGGUUUUCAUGCUGACAUUUUUUCAGGGUUAUUUUUUACCACAAAGCCUCUCAAAUAUAUUAAUCUUUCCAUUUCUACUGAUGCAUUUCACAGAAACAAGUUCUGUGUUAACAUGUGAGUUAACUCACAAGAACUUGCUGCACAGCUGUCAAUUAUCUUAAAGAAUCCAUGAAUGGCAGGUGCCAUGGCUCAAUAGGCUAAUCCUCCACCUGCGGCACCGGCACACUGGGUUCUUGUCCCGGUCAGGGCGCCAGAUUCUGUCCUGGUUGCCCCUCUUCCAGGCCAGCUCUUUGCUGUGGCCCGGGAGUGCAGUGGAGGAUGGCCCAAGUCCUUGGGCCCUGCACCCACAUGGGAGACUAGGAGAAGCACCUGGCUCCUGGUUUUGGAUCAGUGCAGUGUGCUGGCUGCAGCAUGCCAGCUGCAGUGGCCAUUGGAGGGUGAACCAAUGGAAAAGGAAGACCUUUCUCUCUCUCACUGUCCACUCUGCCUGUCAAAAAAAUCCAUGAACAAUUUUAUUUUGUUUUUCAAAGAAACAUGCAUUUUGUAUUCCAUGCAAUGUUCAUUACUACAAAUUAUAUUGAUUCACUCAUUCCACAAAUAAUAGCUGAGGGCAUACCAUGAACCCAACCCAAGGUUAGGUGAUCAAUUGAAAGUCAUUGUCCUUGGCUCCAUGGAGAUUAUAACCUUUUGAGAGAGGCAGGAGAUAAACACAGAAACACACAAACAGAAAUCUAUUCUUUGAGCAAGCUGUUAUGAGAAGAAGGUAAGGCACCUAGAAACCUAAGUUAAAGGGAUCUCUUAAGGAAGUAAUAUUGGAACUAAGAUCUAAAGUAUGUGUCAAAAAAGCCAAGGACCAGUGGGUGAAUUUCUUGGCAGAGGUGAAAGUAAAGGAGAAGAUUUCAAGAUAGAAAAGAUUUUAGCACAUUGGAGAGCCAGUCAGGAGUCCAGCCUGACUGGAGUACUGUGAGAGGUCUUGAUGAAGCUGGAGAAAAGCCAGAUCAUGCAUGUGGCUGACUUUUGUUCUAAUGUCAACAGGAUGCCUUCAGAAGAUUUAAACAAUGGAGCAACAUAUUCCACUUUGGCUUAUGUGUAAAGAACAGAUGAGGGGCAGAAGUAGAUAGAGGUGGUUAAGAAGCUACUGCAAUACUCCAAGCUCCUUAGGGGUAGAUAUUCAUAUAAAGAGAAAUGCUAAUGCUGUCAAUUGGGGGCAGAGUGGAAAGCAUAAAUGGAAUUGUAUUUGAGGUCCCUUUUGAAUUUGUACUCUGUAAGACUUGAUUAUUGAUUAUAUUUAGAGGAUAAUCCUGGCUUCCUGGCUUGAGCAACUGGGUGAGUGUAAGAGGAAUUUCCCAGAAGAAAGGAUUUUGACAAGAGGGAAAAAAAUGAAGGAGAAGGCAAAAUGAUGCCAGGAGUAAAAGCUGUUGAACAAUCAACCAACCUAAAAGAACUUCACUCACACACCCAAAGGAACUCACACACCAGAAAUUAUUGGUGAGUAACUGAUUUGUGGAAGACCAUCUCUCUUUGCUAAAGUCUGAAAUUUCUGCUAGCAACAGCUUGAAGUAGGGCCAUACGUUUUUCCUAUAAACUUACCUAGGUUAAUAUACUGCCAUUUAAAAAUAGUUAAUGACUCCUGCUUUUUAAAAUGGGGGGGGGCUGGAAAUCUCUAGGAACAGUUGUAAGGUUUCAAGGCAUAUGUCAACUAAUCCUUUGGUGUCAACUUGCUCAGUACAAAGUCAUUGUUGUAAUAACUUAGAGGAGAGACUCUACUGUAGAUGAUUUGUAAUUUUUUAGAGGUCAUGCUGACUUUGAAAACAUUAGACUCAAGAUUAGAAGCCAGGGAGAAGUAAGAGUUGAAUUGUUGCAUGAACUGGGACAAACAGAAUUAUUCAGACAAACGAUCCACUAAGUUCAGUAUUUUCAUCUGGCUGUCCAUACUUCUCAGUCAUUGAAAUGUUGUUCCAUGCUUUACAUUGUGCUGUUUGGAUAUGGUUAGAUGCUUUGUAACAAACUGUCUGGAAUUUAGGUAGAUCAAUAAGAUCAUAAUUUCAGGUGUCCUUCAAUAGUGUUCACUGUGGACUCUGAAAUGAUGAAGGAAAGCUUUCUACUGUAAUAACUGCAAAGAAAAAUGUUUAAAAAUUAUAACUUAAUUUCUGUGGUAUUUUCCAGUAUUCUAAUAUCAGAUCAAGUCAUUAAUGCCUACUGGGAAAGGGCUUUAAAUGUAGAAAUCUUCAGUUAAGGAACUUGACCAUAGAGUGGCUCCUAACGCUUUAUUUUCUUUCUUUUUUUUUCUUUCUUUCUUUUUUGACAGGCAGAGUUAAUGAGAGAGCAAGACAGAGAGAAAGAUCUUCCUUCCAUUGGUUCGCCCCUCAAAUGGCCGCUAUGGCUGGUGUGCUGAGCCAAUCUGAAGCCAGGAGCCAGGUGCUUCCUCCUGGUCUCCCAUGCAGGUGCAGGGCCCAAAGACUUGGGCCAUCCUACACUGCCUUCCUGGGCCACAACAGAGAGCUAGACUGGAAGAGAAGCAACCAGGACAGAAUCUGGUGCCCCAACUGGGACUAGAACCUGGGGUACCAGCACCGCAGGUGGAUUAUCCUAGUGAGCCACAGUGCCAGCUUUAUUUUCAAUAUAUCUGGGACUUAGUAUAAAUUAUUUGUCACAUAAAAAUCCUAGCCAAUGAUUUUACCUGCAGAGGAAAAGUGGGUAGAGGGGCUGGUGCUGUGGCUGGCCUGAAGCACUGGUUCUAGUCUUGGCUGCUCCUCUUCUGAUCCAGCUCUCUGCUAUAGCCUGGGAAAGCAGUGGAAGAUGGCCCAAGUCCUUGGGCCAAUGCACCCACAUGAAAGACCUGGAAGAAGUUCCUGGCUCCUGGCUUCAGAUGGCGCAGCUCUGGCUGCUGCAGCCAACUGGGGAGUGAACCAGCAGAUGGAAGACCUCUCUGACUCUACCUCUCUCUGUAACUCUGUCUUUCAAACAAAUAAAAUAAAUCUUUUAAAAAAAAACGGAGGGUAGAGGCUGGUGAGAGGUUGGCCUUUGAUGGAUCAAAGACUUGUUUGUGGUGAUUCUAAGCAAACUCCAGGACUCAGUGGGUGGGGCUUGAGUUUUGACUCCCCUCCUACUGCCACCAAAUUUCUAGGCAUGUGAUCCUAAGUCACUUGACAUCAACACACUGUGCCUCAGUUGCCUCAACAAUAAUAGGAGAUAAUAAUCUCCCCAUUCCUAGGAUAUUGUAUAGAGUCACUGAGCAAGUAUUUAUCAAGAAGUUAUGACUGCUACAUGAGUAUGAGCCAAGUGCUCUGGGAAAACUGUGUAAGAGGUGGUGCUUCUUUGUGUUUUAGCAAAGAUGAACCACAGGAAGAUGUGGUGACUUGAUAAAUGAGGCACCCUAUAAGCAAAUAUUUGUACAUAAUUCUUUAUAAAAUCAUCCCUGGGUUGUGUUAGAACCCAAACAUAAAGAAUAUGGAAAGGCAUAUUUUGUAAAGAGUUCAUAAUAUUUGAAUCCUUUGGACUCUAUCGGUUUUAACAUAGAUAUGAACAAUGCAUUCAGGAUGUUUAUCCCAUUUAAGUAUUGUUUAACAAACUUGGAGAAGCAAUAUAUGGUGACUUUUGUAUUUUUAAAAUUAAUUUUACAUUUUCCAGGAAUCUACUGAAUGCAGAUCACUUUGCAAGGCUUAUGGAAAAGAUUGCAAAAAUCUUAAAACAUGAUUGUGCUUAAAUAGCUUAUAUUCUUAUGGGAGAGGCAAAGAUACAUUCAGAACCUAGAUCAUCCAAGAUUGGUGGUGGCAGUGUUGGAUACAACUAAAAAUAAAGCUUUCUUAGUCUGUGGUUACAAAAUAUAGCACUGGAGUAAUUAUAGCUUACAAACCAAUUUUAAAUUUUAUUUAUUUAUUUACUUCUUUGAGAGACAGAGGCAAACACAGAUGUUGCCAUCCACCCAUUCAUUCCACAAAUGCCCACAACAGCCAGGUCUGGGCCAGGACAAAGCCAGGAAGUGGAAACUUCAAUUAAGUCUCCCAUGUGGGUGACAAGCCCUUGAGCCACUACCUGCUACCUCCCAGGGCACACAUCAGCAGGAAGCUGGAAAAGGGAGCAGAGCUAGAACCAAAACCCAAGGCCUACAAUAUGGGAUGGGAGUAUCCCAAGUACUGUCUUAACUGUUGCCAAGUGCCCCCUCUAUCCCCACCCCACAAUCAGCUGCUUUUAUUUUUUUUCCCAAGAGUGAGAAAUAGCAAAGCCUCCUGGGGCCUGGGUAGAAGAGCAGAUCUUACAGAAGAAGCUGCUUUGAAUUCCAGCUGAUGGUGUGGCAGUACUAAAGCAUCUAGUUGGCUGGUCUUGAAAAGUAGGAUAAAUAACAGCACUGUUUCUUUGGUGUAUGCUUUGAGUUUCAGAGGUUUAUGGUUUUCCAGCUCUUGUCUCUACUGUUGAGGAACAGUUUUGUUAUUGUUGCUGUUGUUAUUUUCAUGCAAAUUGUUGAACUCUUCACUUGGUAUAGAGUUGGUCUUCUGUGUAUAAAGUUAAUCAAAAGUGGAUCUUAGUGGAGAAUGGGAGUGGGGGUGGGAGAGGGAGGAGGAAGAGGGCUGGGAGAGUGGGUGGGAAGCUGGCUAUGGUAGGGAGAAUCACUGUAUUGCUAGAGUUGUACUUGUGAAGUUAUGAAGAUUGUGUUCCUUAAAUAAAAGGUUUCUUGGGAGGGGGAAUAAACAAAGACAUAAUAAUUUUUUUAAAAGUUUAUUGUUUUCUAAGAGUUAUGAGAUUAUGCAAGUGAAUAAAUAAAUAAAUACAUGUCUGAGUAUCUCACUUCCCAUUUAAAACACUUUAAUGUCCUUCAGGACAAAGCCAAGUCUUCAGCAAAGCAGGUACCCUGUCAGCUGUAAUGAGGAUAUGCUUUCAGCUGCAAGCAGCAGGCCAUGUAAUCAACAGCAGCUUCAACAGGCACUUCCCAAGCCCCAGUGUAGCUGCCAACCACUAGGGCUUCUUAUUAAAAUGCACAUUUGGUUGGAGACCUGGGUAGGGUGGACUUGAAAUUCUACAUUUCUGACAAGCCUGCAGGUGAUACUCAUUCUAUUAGUCUAAGGCCUACACCUUCCAAAAUAGCAAGAGCUUAAAACAGUACCAUUUUCUCCCCUUUGCAUACUAAGAAAUCUGAAAGUUGGCCAGACUUGAUUCAGAAAAUCAGCUGUGUCACUAGCCUGGGACUGUCCAAUCAGAGAUCAGGGAAUGGCAAAUGACACCUUCCAGGCUCAAUCUAGUUCAACACCUUUUUAUUUUAUUUAUUUAUUUGAAAUAAAGCUCUCUUGGAACACAGCAGAGCUCGUUGCUCCUUUGUUGCCCAUGGCUAUUCUCCUGCUGGAACUGCAGAGUUGGGACAGAGUCCACUAUUUCCACAAAGCCUAAAGGGCCCAUGUUCAUCGAACCCUUGCAAAAAAGCGUUUGCUGACUCCCAGCUUAGAUGUCACUUUUGGCUCUGGAUCUGGCAUAUGUCCUGUCCAAACUCAGAGAGGACUCUGCUGACACGGGGGAAAGGGAGGAAAUGGCCAAGUCAGUGAGGCACCUCCUCUCCCUCACAUCCUGCUGUCCUCUCACCUGUGACUCAUCCUUUAGCCAUGGCAACUAUGGCAGCUCCCCGAAGGCAUCGUGCUUCACUGUGGCUCCAGAAUAUGCCAAGCGUGUUUUGAGUACAAUGAAAUCACUGGAGCUGACUGUGUGCAAAAAGCAAUGGGAGAGCCCACAGGCCAGGACGAUAAGGCAGGAUGGCUGGGAAGAUGGCAUCAGGUGCCAAGUUUUCUUUAAAUGUCAGGAAAGAAGAUGAGACAGCAUUCUGAGAAGGAUCAAGAUGCACCCUGCAAAACAUUUGGAUGGAAAGGUAGAGGAGGGAGCCACAAGGUGAUUAUGCAAAGACUUGAAUUAGCAGCCCUGCUCAGCAGGAGCUGGCUCUCCAAGACAGAAAGAGAUAAGGCCUAAAGAUGCGAAUGCAAGCACUGCAAAGAUCUACAAUAAUUCUGGCUUGAUUUACUUGGCUUAUGAAGGUCAUCUACUCAUGUGCCAUUGAUAGAAGACUGCUUGUGCCACAAGGCUAGCCCUCAGUUGGCUCUGGAGUUUCCUUUCUUGCCGGCUCUGUUUUCCAGUAAAAUAACCCUGGCCCAGUGCCUUUGCUUAUCUGUAUUUUUGAAUCAAUAAAUAUUUACUCCAUGUUGGCAUACAUGGCCUUGAGCUUGGUGUGGACAUGAACAAAAAUGAAUGAGGCUUGGACUUUGCCCUUAACUGUUGAACCCACCAAGAACUAGUGGUUAAGCAGUGAACUCAGAAAAACCUGGGAUACAAUUCCAGAUUUUCCACCUACCAGCUUGGACAAGUUAUUUCAAUUUUCUAAGUUCUAUUAUUUCCCCACUAAUGAGCACAAUAAUAAUAUCCAUCUCAUAGGUUCCUUAUGAGGAUUAGUUAGAGCAACAUACAGUGGGCAGAAAGCAUACAAUAUAAUUUUUAAAUUUUUUUUAUUUUUUAAAAUUUUUUGACAGGCAGAGUGGACAGUGAGAGACAUAGAUGGAAAGGUCUUCCUUUUCUGUUGGCUCACCCCCCACAAGGGCUGCUGUGGCUCUCACACCGCGCUGAUCCGAAGCCAGGAGCCAGGUACUUCUCCUGGUCUCCAUUGCAGGUGCAGGACCCAAGGACUUGGGCCAUCCUCCACUGCCCUCCAGGGCCACAGCAGAGAGCUGGACAGGAAGAGCAGUGACCGGGACAGAAUCCAGCAACCCGACAGAAAACAUACAAUAUAAUUUAAACUUACUAUUAUUUCUAUUAUUAUUAUUUCCAUAGGGAAGAGGAUGCUUAUAAUUUUCCUUCUGAAUUCUUCUUCCCAUAUGUUUUUUUUUCAUUCUGCCUGAUAACUGCACAAGAAUCUCCAGUUUUCUUUUAAGAGCAGAGGGAAAAACACUCUGAAAAAGAUC